rnacentral:misc_RNA from 1 species
GAUGAAGAACGUAGCGAAAUGCGAUAAGUAAUGCGAAUUGCAGAAUUUCCGUGAGUCAUCGAAUCUUUGAACGCACAUUGCGCCCGCCAGUAUUCUGGCGGGCAUGCCUGUUCGAGCGUCAUUUCAACCAUCAAGCCCUGCUUGCGUUGGGGUCCUGCGGCUGCCCGCAGGCCCUGAAAACCAGUGGCGGGCUCGCUAGUCACACCGAGCGCAGUAAUACAUCUCGCUUUGGGCGUGCGGCGGGUUCUUGCCGUUAAACACCCCCUUUUUACCAAGGUUGACCUCGGAUCAGGUAGGAAUACCCGCUGAACUUAAGCAUAUCAAUAAGCGGAGGA